rnacentral:misc_RNA from 1 species
GAUGAAGAACGGAGCGAAAUGCGAUAAGUAAUGCGAAUUGCAGAAUUCAGUGAAUCAUCGAAUCUUUGAACGCACAUUGCGCCCGCCAGUAUUCUGGCGGGCAUGCCUGUCUGAGCGUCGUUUCGACCCUCGCGCCCGGCUUCUGUCGGGGGCGGUGUUGGGGAUCGGCCACACCCUUCAGUGGGAGGCCGGCCCCUAAAUUCAGUGGCGACCACGCUGUAGCCUCCCCUGCGUAGUACUAAAACCACCUCGCAGGCGGAGAGCGGUGCGGCCCGCCGUAAAACCCCCCAACUUUUACAAGGUCGACCUCAGAUCAGGUAGGAAUACCCGCUGAACUUAAGCAUAUCAAUAAGCGGAGGA